GGUUGAUCCUGCCAGUAAUCAUAUGCUUGUGUCAAAGAUUAAGCCAUGCAAGUCUUAGUACAGGUGGAAAAAGAACCGAAACUGCGGAUGGCUCAAUAAAUCAGUCUCAAUUAAUUUAGUGAAUAGAAAGAUAGAAGGAUAACCCUGCUAAUUGUAGAGCUAAUACAUGAAUAAGACGCAUCACCAGGGAACCGCCAUGCAAAAGUGUGGAGGGGAAGAGGGGAUGUGGCAUUUGUCAGCUCGAUAAAGGAUAGAAACAAGGGCUUUUCACCAGCAAUGGUGGGGAGACCAG
rnacentral:rRNA from 1 species